rnacentral:lncRNA from 1 species
GCCGACUUUUCUUUCACUUUCACUUAGAGCAAGAUGGCAGCCCGCGUCCCUGUGUGAAGCCGUCUGCAGCAGCUGCCAGAGCCCUGCUUGCUGUUUCCUUUCUCACCACCCACCUCACCCGGAAAUCCCCUGUCUCGAAAAGGCACUCUGUCACGUGUACACAGGAAAGGGCCCUGACAAGAGGAUGGGACUGCAGUUGUGGCUGCCAGAGUCUUGCUUUGUCGCCCAGGUUGGAGUGCAGUGGCACGAUCUCGGCUCAGUGCAACCUCCGCCUCCUGAGUUCAAGUGAUUCUCCUGCCUCAGCCUCCCUAGUAGCUGGGAUUACAGGACAAGGAGAGGGACAAAUUCCUUCUUGGCAUCCUUAUGGCCCUGUGACCUGCUAAUGAAUGCUGACUCUGAGUUGCUACUAGAAUUUGGUUUCCUUGUGGCUUCCCAGGAAUUGUGAGCCAUGUUGGAUAAGGACCUGCAAGGGAAGAAUGAGGAAGCCUGGGACAGUGCAGGAGGGGAGAGCACUGGUGGUAGAGAGGAGUGAUGACAAGGGUCUCCGCCAAAAGGGAAAUGGAGGGGUUAAAGAAGCUGCUGGGGAGGGUUAAAAACAAUGUGUUCUCACUCGUAGGUGGGAAUUGAACAAUGAGAACACUUGGACACAGGAAGGGGAACAUCACACACUGGGGCCUGUCGUGGGGUGUGGGGAGGGAGGAGGGAUAGCAUUAGGAGAUAUACCUAAUGUAAAUGAUGAGUUAAUGGGUGCAGCACACCAACAUGGCACAUGUAUACCUAUGUAACAAACCUGCACAUUGUGUACAUGUACCCUAGAACUUAAAGUAUAAUUAAAAAACAAAACAAAACAAAACAAAAACAAUGAGGUGCUAUUGUUUUAGUGGUGAGUAUCCGGAGACCUGGGAGUUCUAUUUACCAGGUAUAACCUGGGCUCAAAAUUCCAGGCUGACUUCAGGCAUGUCCUCAUCUCAUAGAUGCCAGCACUAAGGCCCAGAGAGGUCUCACUCUGCUCACUCUGUCUCCCAAGCUGGAGUGCAGUGGUACAGUCACGGCUCACUGCAGCCUCCACUUCCUGGACUCAAGUGAUCUUCUCACUUCAGCCUUCUGAGUAGCUGGGACUACAGCCCCCUCUGCAGCUCUUCAUGGGGGUCCACUCAAGUCAGAAGCCACAUUUGGGUGUGAUUCAGAGAGCUGUUUAUGCAAAACCAGCUUUGUCACCAUCAGGCAAGGCACCUGAAUUCCCACCGCAGAGAGUGUUGUGGCCGUGAGGACUUUUCUGUCACCAGCCAUUUCCAGGUAGACCCAGUGUAAUCACAAGCAUCCUUGUAAGUGGCAAAGAGGCAGAGGAGACAGCGCCAGAGAGGCAGCUGCAUGAGAAGGAUCAAGAUGUUGCUGACUUUGAAGUUGGAAGAAGAAGGCCAUGAGCCUCAGUAUGUGGGCGGCUUCUAGAAGCUGGAAGGGGCAAGGAGAUGGAUUUGACCCUUCAGCCUCCAGGGGCAGCUGUACCUGCCAUCACUGAUUGUAGCCUGGUGAGGCCUGUUUUAGACUUCUGACCUGUAGAGCUGUAACAUAAUACAUUUGGGUUGUUUUCAACCACUAAGUUUGUGGUAAUUUGUUGUAGCAGCUGUAGAAAAUGAAUACAUAUGAAUCCUCUGGCAUUUGUUUGAGAUUUGCUCUAUGGCCUAGUAUGUGGUUGUAAAUGUUCCAUCUGUGCCUGAAAAAAUGUAUAUUUCUAAUUCAGUAGUCUCUGCUUUUUUUUUUUAUUUUGUACCCCAUCAAUAAAAUGAUUUUCAGCAUGUAUCCCCAAAUAAACAAUAUUUUAUUUAUUGAUUGAUUGAUAAACAGACAUGUUUAAUGAUAGCUUGCUUUUCACAGAGGUGACUUCGGAGACUUCUAAUCUAUAAUCCAGGAGUAUAUAACCAUG